rnacentral:tRNA from 1 species
GGGCCCAUAGCUCAGCGGUCAGAGCAGGCGACUCAUAAUCGCUUGGUCCCAGGUUCAAAUCCUGGUGGGCCCACCA